CUUCGGCUAACGGAGACGCAGGUGAAAAUCUGGUUCCAGAACCGUAGAAACAAAUGGAAACGGCAACUGGCAGCCGAACUGGAGGC
rnacentral:miRNA from 1 species